rnacentral:rRNA from 1 species
CACGUAGUUAGCCGUGGCUUUCUGAUUAGGUACCGUCAAGACGUGCAUAGUUACUUACACAUUUGUUCUUCCCUAAUAACAGAGUUUUACGAUCCGAAGACCUUCAUCACUCACGCGGCGUUGCUCCGUCAAGCUUUCGCCCAUUGCGGAAGAUUCCCUACUGCUGCCUCCCGUAGGGGUCUGGACCGUGUCUCAGUUCCAGUGUGGCCGAUCACCCUCUCAGGUCGGCUACGCAUCGUUGCCUUGGUAAGCCGUUACCUACCAACUAGCUAAUGCGGCGCGGAUCCAUCUAUAAGUGACAGCAAAACCGUCUUUCACUAUUGAACCAUGCGGUUCAAUAUAUUAUCCGGUAUUAGCUCCGGUUUCCCGAAGUUAUCCCAGUCCUUAUAGGUAGGUUAUCCACGUGUUACUCACCGUCCGCGCUACGCAGAGGAGCAAGCUCCUCGUCUGUUCGCUCGACUUGCAUGUAUUAGGCACGCCGCAGCGUUCACUC